UACGUAGGGAGCGAGCGUUGUCCGGAAUUACUGGGCGUAAAGGGCGCGUAGGCGGAUAUUUAAGUCAGAUGUGAAAACUCCGGGCUUAACCUGGAGCCUGCAUUUGAAACUGGGUAUCUUGAGGGCAGGAGAGGAAAGUGGAAUUCCUAGUGUAGCGGUGAAAUGCGUAGAUAUUAGGAGGAACACCAGUGGCGAAGGCGACUUUCUGGACUGUACCUGACGCUAAGGCGCGAAAGCGUGGGGAGCGAAC
rnacentral:rRNA from 1 species